AUACGUAGGGGGCGAGCGUUGUCCGGAAUGAUUGGGCGUAAAGGGCGCGUAGGCGGCGCGGUAAGUCUGGAGUGAAAGUCCUGCUUUCAAGGUGGGAAUUGCUUUGGAUACUGCCGCGCUUGAGUGCAGGAGAGGUUAUCGGAAUUCCCAGUGUAGCGGUGAAAUGCGUAGAGAUUGGGAGGAACACCAGUGGCGAAGGCGACUUACUGGGCCGUAACUGACGCUGAGGCGCGAAAGCGUGGGGAGCGAACAGGAUUAGAUACCCUGGUAGUCCACGCCGUAAACGAUGAAUGCUAGGUGUAGCGGGUAUCGACCCCUGCUGUGCCGCAGUAAACACAAUAAGCAUUCCGCCUGGGGAGUACGGCCGCAAGGUUGAAACUCAAAUGAAUUGACGGGG
rnacentral:rRNA from 1 species